AGGACUACAAUUCUAUGGGCGCUCAUUUCAAACCGAAGCGAAACAAAACGAGGAACCCUAGAGCCCCCCACAGCACAACCGAGUCAAGCAGGGUGAUGAAAGGUUGAAGUCAUAUAAAGAGAAUAAUUUGCUCCAAAUCAACACGAUAUCUUUCCACUUGAAUCAGGCAACCUAAACUCAAUACCACCGACUUUUUUUAUGAUACAAUUUUAGACCUUGUCAUCUUCAAUAAGGGAGAACCUUGACCACAAAUUAUGAAUAAAAUUUGAACUUGAAUACGCAAAUGGAAAUUAAAGAAAAAUCAAUCAGAAACAUCAGACCACAAAUCGCAUUCAUUGUCCUGAAAAAAAUUGGUACUAAUGAGUAGAAAUAGCUAUCUAAC
rnacentral:lncRNA from 1 species